CGAAAUGCGAUAAGUAGUGUGAAUUGCAGAAUUCGGUGAAUCAUCGAAUCUUUGAACGCACAUUGCGCCCCUUGGUAUUCCAUGGGGCAUGCCUGUUCGAGCGUCAUUUGUACCCUCAAGCUCUGCUUGGUGUUGGGUGUUUGUCCCCGUCUCCGCGCGUGGACUCGCCCCAAAGUGAUUGGCAGCCGGCGUACUGGUCCCGGAGCGCAGCACAUGUCGCGCAAACGAGUGCCUUGGUACGGCGGCGUCCAUAAGCCCCUCUCUCACGCUCUUGACCUCGGAUCAGGUAGGGAUACCCGCUGAACUUAAGC
rnacentral:misc_RNA from 1 species